rnacentral:rRNA from 1 species
AAACUUUCAACAACGGAUCUCUUGGUUCCGGCAUCGAUGAAGAACGCARCGAAAUGCGAUACGUAAUGUGAAUUGCARAAUUCAGUGAAUCAUCGAGUCUUUGAACGCACAUUGCGCCCCCUGGUAUUCC